UGAGAUGAUUAUAUACAGGGAUGCUCCUA
rnacentral:piRNA from 1 species